rnacentral:rRNA from 1 species
GUGCCAGCCGCCGCGGUAAUACGGAGGGUGCAAGCGUUGUCCGGAAUCACUGGGUGUAAAGGGUGUGUAGGCGGGAUUGUAAGUCAGAGGUGAAAUCUUGCGGCUCAACCGUAAAAUUGCCUUUGAUACUGCAGUUCUUGAGUCCCGGAGAGGUUGUUGGAAUUCGUGGUGUAGCGGUGAAAUGCGUAGAUAUCACGAGGAACACCAGAGGCGAAAGCGAACAACUGGACGGGUACUGACGCUAAGGCACGAAAGCGUGGGGAGCAAACAGGAUUAGAAACCCCAGUAGUCC